rnacentral:misc_RNA from 1 species
UACGGAGACGGCGAGCGUUACUCGGAUUUACUGGGCGUAAAGGGUGCGUAGGUGGCUUUGUAUGUCAGGUGUGAAAUCCCGGGGCUCAACCCCGGAACUGCGCCUGAAACUACAGGGCUAGAGGCUCGGAGAGGGCAGUGGAAUUCCAGGUGUAGCGGUGAAAUGCGUAGAUAUCUGGAGGAACACCAACGGCGAAGGCAGCUGCCUGGACGAGUUCUGACACUGAGGCACGAAAGCGUGGGUAGCAAAAGGG